rnacentral:rRNA from 1 species
UACGGAGGAUGCAAGCGUUAUCCGGAAUUAUUGGGCGUAAAGCGUCCGUAGGUGGCUUUACAAGUCAGCUGUUAAAGCGUGGAGCUUAACUCCAUAAAGGCAGUUGAAACUGUGAGGCUAGAGUGCGGUAGGGGUAAGGGGAAUUCCCAGUGUAGCGGUGAAAUGCGUAGAUAUUGGGAAGAACACCGGUGGCGAAAGCGCCUUGCUGGACCUGCACUGACACUGAGGGACGAAAGCUAGGGGAGCGAACCGG